rnacentral:rRNA from 1 species
UACGUAGGGUGCGAGCGUUGUCCGGAAUUAUUGGGCGUAAAGAGCUUGUAGGCGGUUUGUCGCGUCUGCCGUGAAAUUUCGAGGCUCAACCUCGAACUUGCGGUGGGUACGGGCAGACUAGAGUGUGGUAGGGGAGACUGGAAUUCCUGGUGUAGCGGUGAAAUGCGCAGAUAUCAGGAGGAACACCGAUGGCGAAGGCAGGUCUCUGGGCCGAUACUGACGCUGAGGAGCGAAAGCGUGGGGAGCAAACAGG